GCUACAACACAGGACAUGAGAACUUUCUUGGACGCUCGUGUCUUGUGUUGCAGCCAG
rnacentral:pre_miRNA from 1 species